GGGUCGCAGCUCGCCCCGGCGGCGGGUAGGCCUCGACCGAGCGCUCGCGGGCCGGCGGGUGCGCAGGGCGCGGCUUCCCCCCCCGGAAGAGGCCCCGCCGGCCCGCGGGCGCACCAGCCACGGCGCCGCUCUCCGCAGUCCCACCGGCGAGGACUGCCGCCGCGUUCGAGGAAGGACAAUACCCAGCAGCACGAGGCCCGGGUGCCAAUGUCAGGCUUUCCUGCGGGGCUCCUUGAGGCUCUUUUUCAAACAUCAAAUGAUGCAGCCUUGCUGAUCCCCCUAAUCCAGUACUUAAUCUACCCACCGGGCAUUCAUUCAGCGGGAGAAUUAGAUUCUGCUGGGGCGGACCUAGCUUCUGCCCUGCCGCCGUCCACUGGUCGCUCCCCUUGGGGGCUAGGGGGAGACGGGGGUUACACAGUUGCCCUGAGGAGAGUGAGAGGCAGAGACGAGAAGAGGCGGUGACCCCAGACCCAGCCCAGGACUGAAUUCACCUUCCUCCCCGGCCCCUUGCUCUGGAGGGAAGGGGCAGAGAAGCUCCCACCCCUCCACAGACCUUAGGGACUUGGACUAGAAACAGCCCGGGAGGCAUUAAACAGUGUGUUACUUUGACUUCCUGCUUCCUUUUGGAGCAGUCCCAUUCCAGGGCAUCCUUUCCUCCAACCCUCCUUGCUUCCUCCCCACGCCCGAACAUCCUUGACAAUCUUGUUCUGUUUUCUCUAUAGCGCUUGCGCAAUCCAGUUUUGUUUAUAACAUUUGACUUGAAAUUAUCUUGUGUGUUGAUUUAUUUACUCUGUCUUCCUGCCCCUAACACCUUUCCCCCUUUAGGAUAAAAGCUCCAUUGGAGCCAGGACUUUGUACGCAUCACUGCUGUAUCCUCAACACCAUGUGCUUGGAACACAGGAGGUGCCCAGAAAUAUUCUGAGCCUUUUGUCAUAGUAUGAAGAUUUUCUACAGUAUGGAAUUUGUUUCUGGCUCUUCAUUUUUUCCCCUGAGGUUCUUGACAGUGAGGACAAGCUCUGGAGUGCUCUCCUGAAAAUACAGCCUCCCUUGCUACCUAAACCCAGUGAAAGGCCAGCCUAGGAAAAGAUGGACCCUCCUCUGACCACUGGUGGAGUGCGGCAGCAGUGGGCGAUGCAGCCACUCCCUGUCCUCUUCUGUGGAACCUAGGACCUCAGGGCUCAGUAGCUGCAGCCAGAGUUGCGACUCAGGCCAUCUCUUCCUUCUACCCUACAGGUGGCUCCCAGCCUGUCUCCUGCACCUUCUCCCUGUUCCUGUUCCUCUCUGCAAGGCUUUGGUUCAGGCUAGGAGUAGCUACAUAAUUUGUAGGCCCCAGAUAAAAAGGAAACUGUGAGGCCCCUUUUUCAAGAUGGGACAGCAGAGUACUGUCACACCAAGUGUAGGGCCCCUCUGAGCGGGGGCCCCUGUGUGACUACAGGUCACACACACAUAAAGCUAGUCCUGGUUCUGGCCCUUUCCCUUGGCUGUCUGAGGGACCCACCUGAUGCGGGGUCGGUGAGCCGAGGAGUCGAAAGAAAGAUUUCUUUAGACUCUUAA